AUUGAACGCUGGCGGCGUGCCUAACACAUGCAAGUCGAACGAACUCGAUUCUUCGGAUGAAGAGUUAGUGGCGCACGGGUGAGUAACACGUAGGUGACCUACCCCAGAGUGGGGACGAACUUCUCGAAAGAGGAGCUAAUACCCCACUAUGCUCAGUCAUUCGGUUGAUUGAGUAAAGUUCCGGCGCUCUGGGAGGGGCCUGCGUCCGAUUAGCUAGUUGGUGGGGUAAUGGCCUACCAAGGCGAUGAUCGGUAGCUGGUCUGAGAGGACGAUCAGCCACACUGGCACUGACACACGGGCCAGACUCCUACGGGAGGCAGCAGUGAGGAAUAUUGCGCAAUGGGCGAAAGCCUGACGCAGCAACGCCGCGUGAAGGAUGAAGGCCUUCGGUCGGUAAACUUACUUUCUUGGGAGAAGAGACAAGGACGGUAUCCACGGAAUAAAGUCUCGGCGUAACUAACGUGCCACGCAGCCGCGGUAAAGUAGACGUCU
rnacentral:rRNA from 1 species